CCUACGGGAGGCAGCAGUGGGGAAUAUUGCACAAUGGGCGAAAGCCUGAUGCAGCCAUACCGCGUGUGUGAAGAAGGCCUUCGGGUUGUAAAGCACUUUCGUUAGGGAAGAAAGGUGCGAGGUUAAUAACCUCGUACUGUGACGGUACCUAAAUAAGAAGCACCGGCUAACUCCGUGCCAGCAGCCGCGGUAAUACGGAGGGUGCAAGCGUUAAUCGGAAUCACUGGGCGUAAAGCGCGCGUAGGCGGCUUGGUAAGUCAGAUGUGAAAGCCCCGGGCUCAACCUGGGAAUUGCAUUUGAUACUGCCAAACUAGAGUGUAGUAGAGGGAAGUGGAAUUCCGAGUGUAGCGGUGAAAUGCGUAGAUAUUCGGAGGAACAUCAGUGGCGAAGGCGACUUCCUGGACUAACACUGACGCUGAGGUGCGAAAGCGUGGGUAGCAAACAGGAUUAGAUACCCUGGUAGUCCACGCCGUAAACGAUGUCUACUAGUCGUUGGGGGGCUUGUCCCUUUAGUGGCGCAGUUAACGCGUUAAGUAGACCGCCUGGGGAGUACGGCCGCAAGGCUAAAACUCAAAGGAAUUGACGG
rnacentral:rRNA from 1 species